rnacentral:rRNA from 1 species
AGUGAACGCUGGCGGUAGGCCUAACACAUGCAAGUCGAACGGCAGCACAGUAAGAGCUUGCUCUUACGGGUGGCGAGUGGCGGACGGGUGAGGAAUACAUCGGAAUCUACUUUUUCGUGGGGGAUCACGUAGGGAAACUUACUCUCAUACCGCAUACGACCUACGGGUGAAAGCAUGGGAUCUUCUGACCUUGCGCGAUUGAAUGAGCCGAUGACGGAUUAGAUAGUUGGGGGGGUAAAGGCCCACCAAGGCGACGAUCCGUAGCGGGUGUGAGAGGAUGAUCGGCCACACUGGAACUGGGACACGGUCCAGACUCCUACGGGAGGCAGCAGUGGGGAAUAUUGGACAAUGGGCGCAAGCCUGAUCCAGCCAUACUGCGUGGGUGAAGAAGGCCUUCGGGUUGUAAAGCCCUUUUGUUGGGAAAGAAAAGCAGCAGGUUAAUACCACGCUGUUCUGACGGUACCCAAAGAAUAAGCACCGGCUAACUUCGUG